rnacentral:rRNA from 1 species
AUGUGUGGCCACAGGCGCCGUGAUGGAGCAUCGCAUGCGUCCGUCGAUGCUGUGAUUAAGCAUCGCAGGCUCUGCGACGACAUCAUGCUGCGACAGCGACCAUGGCCAUGCUGUCAGGCAUGCUUCAGCCAUCAUGGGAAUGCUUCAACGACGACGGACGGUGUAAUGCUUCGACAACCACGGCCUGUUGCGACGGCAUCGACGAUGGCCAUGUUGCAGGCGUGCUUCAAUGGUCGUGGCAAUGCUUUGACGACGACGACCGCAACAAUUGCUUUGGUGCCCAUGGCAAGGCGUCAACGAUCACGACCAUGCAACGAGACAUGCUUCAAUGGUCGUGGCGAUCCUUUGACAACGACGGCCGCAGCAAUGCUUUGA